UUCUGGCCUCACCAUCUUACUGGCUGCAGCAGAUUAAGCUGUCUGAGGCUGCUGGCAAGCACUCGAUUUCACUCGGGUUUUUCAAACUAGCCUUGGAGGCUGAAUGUGAGUCUCUUCAACUGCGUUAUGAGCUCAAAUCUUACGUUGAUCGCUACGAGCUUAGUGACCUUGAAGACCCUCUGAAGGAAUUACUGGAGAGCAAAAGUGUUGCAUAGUAAGUUCAAAAGCCAUAAGACCGCCAACAUAGGAGAUAUGGCGUAAAAGCAAAUCAUUGGCGUACCUUGGCUGCCAACGUGAGGAAAAUACUUAAAUCGUCGUUGGAGAAUCACCUCCAUAACUUCUGCUCCUAUAAGUUUAGCAGCAUCAAUUGCAAGCUCUGUCACAGUUGGUCCCGUAAUAUCAACAGAAUUUCCAUAAGACGAGAAUAAUAAAAUAUCAGUGUCAGCAUAGAAUUUCUGCAUUGCAACUGGAUUUCCGAUUGUUGCAGGAUUGCUCAUAUAUUCUUC